rnacentral:tRNA from 1 species
AAGCUUUAUAGUCAAUAUAAUGAUAUUAGACUGCAAUUCUAAAGUAGAUUUUAAUCUAAAGCUUA